GAAUGAAGAACGUAGCGAAUUGCGAUAAGUAAUGUGAAUUGCAGAAUUCCGUGAAUCAUCGAAUCUUUGAACGCAAAUUGCACUCUCUGGUAUCCCGGAGAGUAUGCCUGUUUGAGGGUCGGUAAAAUGAAAUAUCGAUGUGUUGCUUUUUUUGCAACAUUUCGGAAUUGGGUUAACUUGAUCCUCUCAAGUGACCUAAAAUUCAUUACUUCGGUAUGAUUAACGUAUUUAAUUAUUUCGUUUUGAAUGCCGAAAAUUAUUAGAUGUGACUAUUUAACAAUAGCAUCACCUCCAUAAUUUUUUUGAAUUUCGACCUCAAAUCAGGUAAGAGUACCCGCUGAACUUAAGCAUAUCAAUAAGCGGAGGA
rnacentral:misc_RNA from 1 species